GGAGGGGGCGAGCGUUGUUCGGAAUCACUGGGCAUAAAGGGCGCGUAGGCGGCUGGAUAAGUCAGGUGUGAAAGGCCACAGCUCAACUGGGGAACUGCAUCUGAUACUGUCUGGCUUGAGUACAGGAGAGGAGAGUGGAAUUCCCAGUGUAGCGGUGAAAUGCGUAGAUAUUGGGAGGAACACCAGUGGCGAAGGCGACUCUCUGGCCUGAUACUGACGCUGAGGCGCGAAAGCCAGGGUAGCGAACGGGAUUAGAUACCCCGGUAGUCCUAGCCCGUAAACGUUGGGCACUAGGUGUAGAAGGUAAUAACCCCUUCUGUGCCGUAGCUAACGUGUUAAGUGCCCCCGCCUGGGAUACGGUCGCAAGGCUG
rnacentral:rRNA from 1 species